GGUAUCGGCCUAAUUACGCUCAAUAUGCCGGGUGUCGUUCGAUCACCGAAGCCACCCAAUCUUGGACCCAGUUAGUACUUGGAAGGGAGACCGCCUGGGAACACCGGCUGUUGAUAGCA
rnacentral:rRNA from 1 species